GAUGAACGCUGGCGGCGUGCCUAAUACAUGCCAGUCGAGCGAACAGACGAGGAGCUUGCUCCUCUGACGUUAGCGGCGGACGGGUGAGUAACACGUGGAUAACCUACCUAUAAGACUGGGAUAACUUCGGGAAACCGGAGCUAAUACCGGAUAAUAUAUUGAACCGCAUGGUUCAAUAGCGAAAGACGGUUUUGCUGUCACUUAUAGAUGGAUCCGCGCCGCAUUAGCUAGUUGGUAAGGUAACGGCUUACCAAGGCAACGAUGCGUAGCCGACCUGAGAGGGUGAUCGGCCACACUGGAACUGAGACACGGUCCAGACUCCUACGGGAGGCAGCAGUAGGGAAUCUUCCGCAAUGGGCGAAAGCCUGACGGAGCAACGCCGCGUGAGUGAUGAAGGUCUUCGGAUCGUAAAACUCUGUUAUUAGGGAAGAACAAAUGUGUAAGUAACUAUGCACGUCUUGACGGUACCUAAUCAGAAAGCCACGGCUAACUACGUG
rnacentral:rRNA from 1 species